UACGGGGGGGGCAAGCGUUGUUCGGAAUUACUGGGCGUAAAGGGCUCGUAGGUGGCCAACUAAGUCAGACGUGAAAUCCCUCAGCUUAACUGGGGAACUGCGUCUGAUACUGGAUGGCUUGAGUUUGGGAGAGGGAUGCGGAAUUCCAGGUGUAGCGGUGAAAUGCGUAGAUAUCUGGAGGAACCCCGGUGGCGAAGGCGGCAUCCUGGACCAACACUGACACUGAGGAGCGAAAGCCAGGGGAGCAAACGGG
rnacentral:rRNA from 1 species